GGGACUGGGAGGCAGAGCCAGAGACCCGUAAGCGGAGCCGGGAGCCGAACCCCUACGAGCUUGCCCAGUAGGGAGCUCAGGAUCCCCAAGAUUGGACAGGCAAAUAAGCUUAGUGACAGUCCCACCAGUCUUCCCGAGAGUCAUGAUUUCAUUGGGGAUGCUACCUGAUCUCUCUUCAGCCUCAGUUUCCUCACCUGGACAGUGGAGCUGAACCCACUCCCCACUAUCUGACCCUGCUCUCUGGGCUGUCCUUCGGGAACCCGCCCUGCUCAGGCCUGCUCCCCACCCUCCAUGGCUGUCAGCCCCCCAGGAGAAGAAUGUCUGCCAUACGGAGGCUGCUGGCAGCAAAGGGAGAUGAACAAGCCAAGGUUGCCCGGCCUGCACGCUGGCCCAGGGCUGCUGCUGUGUCUUGCCAUCAACCCUCCCGACACCCAGCAUGCCUGCCUCGUCCAGAAGCACUCCUACGUCAGGCCUCUGAGGGGGAGCGCUUCAUGCCACUUUAUCAAAAGGGGAAACCAUCAAAGCAGAAAGGCCAAUGCCACACUAGACAGCCAGGAGCCCAGUAGAACAAGUGGCCCCGAAAGGCGCUUUGGGGACCACACCCCGCUACUGACCCCAGCACAGUCUGGUUCCCAGGGCUUCAGGAUCCUCCUGGGGACCUCUCAGCAUGAUUAACACAGGCAGACGGGACCUGAAGGGGCUGCUGGUCCUUCUGAAAAUGUUCACCAGGUAGUGUGAGUGUGGGGAGGCCAUGAACAAUGUGUGGGACUCUGCCCUGCACCCGCUCAGAGCCUCAGCCCUUCAGAGCCACUAACAAUGAUUUGCUGUGGGUGGGGUCACCCUGAUACUUCUCUGAGGUCGCUUUUUCUUUCAGUUUUUCUGAGUAACUGAGAGGAUCACUUGACUGCAUGCCACCUAAACUAGGGUGUGCACAGCCUGCGUUCUGUGCAAGGAGGGUGCAAAGCAGCAGAGUGUCUGUGACCCAUAUGCCACCUAAUGUUACUACAAGAUUUGCAAGAACUGGUCAUUUAACAGUAACAAUUUUUAUUUAAAAAGAUAAAAGAGAGCUUUGCAGGAAACUGCUGUAGGCUCCCACGUUGCUGGGCAGACGACAACCUGGGCGUCUCGCCCAGCUCCUCCCCACAGCCAUUGGCAUCCACUGUCAGGUUUCAAUAUUCUUGGACCUCAGGGCCUUUGUCCUCUCCAAUCUAAAUGCAGAAAGACACUUGACAUGGACUCUCUCAGGUGUUUUGCAAAAUGCAACACAUCUCAUUAACUCUGGUCACUCUGCUGUGCACUAGAUGUCAAAAUCUCUUCCUCCUCCCUGAGACUUUAGUCCUUUAACUGACAACCCCCCCAUUCCCUCCCUCUGCCGCUCUCUGACCCCCGGUCACCAUCGAUCUACUUGCUACCUCUAUGGGGUCAACUUGUUAAGAUCAACACUUCUGGGACCUCACGUGGAACUGGUCUCUCUGAGGUGGUGGAGAUGCUAAGUAGCAGGAUUUCCUCAUUCCACAGCGUACACAUUUAUCCAAUCCUCACAUUGUACCCCGUGAAUGAAUACAAGCAUGAUCUGCCAAUUGAAACAAUAC
rnacentral:lncRNA from 1 species